rnacentral:siRNA from 1 species
GUCGAGGGGUUCUUGAACAUGGU